AGUCAGUGACCACGGAGAAAGGGGAAGGGACACUUUAUGGUUUUAAACUAGUCUCUCUGUAAUGGCAGCUCAACAGCAUGCAGGUGGUCCAGAUGAUCAUACAGUUCAAUACUGUGAUUUUAAAUACAGGCUCAUGGGGAACUGGAGUCUAUCCUAGCUGACUACACAUUGGAGUGGUUGCCAUUCAGUCACAGGUCAAUUCUCAAGACCUCUGGACGCAGGUGAACACCAUCACCCCGUAGGAACUGAAUACUGUAUGCGGACCUGUGUGUGUAGUUACCUGUCCAUCGACUUGGGCAUGGUGAGGUGAACCCGGUUCUUCAUUGAUGAUCUUUUCUCCCAAUAAAAAGCCCAGCCUGGUCAUCAAUGC